rnacentral:rRNA from 1 species
GUACCUACGGGGCGCAGCAGUAGGGAAUCUUCCACAAUGGACGAAAGUCUGAUGGAGCAACGCCGCGUGAGUGAAGAAGGGUUUCGGCUCGUAAAGCUCUGUUGGUAGUGAAGAAAGUUAGAGGUAGUAACUGGCCUUUAUUUGACGGUAAUUACUUAGAAAGUCACGGCUAACUACGUGCCAGCAGCCGCGGUAAUACGUAGGUGGCGAGCGUUGUCCGGAUUUAUUGGGCGUAAAGCGAGUGCAGGCG